GUUUUUAUUACUUAAUUGACAAGAAUUUAUUAGCUAGAGUGGCAAGUAAAUAAGGACGUCUUAAAAACAAAAAGUUGUUUUACUUCCCAUUUCACUUUCUCUCUCUCUAGCUGUUUUCCUUCACUAAUAUUUCCAAAACACACAACAACAGUUGGCAUCGCUCGCAUAUAAACAGCUCUUCCAUGUCACUGAGAAAACGAGCAAGAUCCAGGGAGGAAAAAUGGAUACAGGAUAUAAAUAGAAAAUCCUCAAAACAGGAAUUUCAAAAUGUCAACAAACAGGCAAAACUUUCUUUCAACAGCGCUAUUAUGACUGGUAUGUUUCACUUGCUUUUUUUUUUUUUUUCUUUUUCUCCAGCAAAUUGCUCAAAUGUCGGUGUGCUCUCAUGAACAGAAACGAUGGCACGGUGGGUCCUGGUCUCAAGACUUCCUCUCAAUGAUUCAGAGGUCUUGGGGGUUUUUUGUCUGAAUAUCAGGCAAAGAGGAAGGACGGCUACAAUGGAGGAGUCUCCUACCACGCUUGUGGUCGUCACUGUAGUGCUCAGUUGAAUGGUGUGUCCAUUGGGGUUGGAGUCCCCAUCCUGUUCUGGGUCCUGGCCCCCCACAGGCUCCAGGGACAUAACCCUUCCAGUUCAGGAUCAUGUGCUGGGGCACUGUUCCCUGAGGUGGGACUCUGGGCUGUAACAGCUGCUUUUGAAGCAUGUUCCAGCUUCAACCACGUGCUUGGACGACACCAGCUCUUCCCACAUACUCUUCCCCAGCUCUUGUGUUGAGUUUGGCUUCCACCUUCCUCCAGCUGAGAAAACACCUAUGCAGAAUUGCAAGUUGUGAUGGGCCCUUGAAAAUCAACGUGUGUGCCGAAUCCAGGUGGAUGCUGUGACCUCACAAAAGCUGUGAAGGUGUGCUAUCGCAGAGUGGAGGUGUGGCAAAGUCCAGAUUCAAGAA
rnacentral:lncRNA from 1 species